UUAAGCGACUAAGCGUACACGGUGGAUGCCCUGGCAGUCAGAGGCGAUGAAGGACGUGCUAAUCUGCGAUAAGCGUCGGUGAGGUGAUAUGAACCGUUAUAACCGGCGAUUUCCGAAUGGGGAAACCCAGUGUGUUUCGACACACUAUCAUUAACUGAAUCCAUAGGUUAAUGAGGCGAACCGGGGGAACUGAAACAUCUAAGUACCCCGAGGAAAAGAAAUCAACCGAGAUUCCCCCAGUAGCGGCGAGCGAACGGGGAGGAGCCCAGAGCCUGAAUCAGUGUGUGUGUUAGUGGAAGCGUCUGGAAAGGCGUGCGAUACAGGGUGACAGCCCCGUACACAAAAAUGCACAUAUUGUGAGCUCGAUGAGUAGGGCGGGACACGUGGUAUCCUGUCUGAAUAUGGGGGGACCAUCCUCCAAGGCUAAAUACUCCUGACUGACCGAUAGUGAACCAGUACCGUGAGGGAAAGGCGAAAAGAACCCCGGCGAGGGGAGUGAAAAAGAACCUGAAACCGUGUACGUACAAGCAGUGGGAGCCUCUUAAUGGGGUGACUGCGUACCUUUUGUAUAAUGGGUCAGCGACUUAUAUUCUGUAGCAAGGUUAACCGAAUAGGGGAGCCGAAGGGAAACCGAGUCUUAACUGGGCGUUAAGUUGCAGGGUAUAGACCCGAAACCCGGUGAUCUAGCCAUGGGCAGGUUGAAGGUUGGGUAACACUAACUGGAGGACCGAACCGACUAAUGUUGAAAAAUUAGCGGAUGACUUGUGGCUGGGGGGGAAAGGCCAAUCAAACCGGGAGAUAGCUGGUUCUCCCCGAAAGCUAUUUAGGUAGCGCCUCGUGAAUUCAUCUCCGGGGGUAGAGCACUGUUUCGGCAAGGGGGUCAUCCCGACUUACCAACCCGAUGCAAACUGCGAAUACCGGAGAAUGUUAUCACGGGAGACACACGGCGGGUGCUAACGUCCGUCGUGAAGAGGGAAACAACCCAGACCGCCAGCUAAGGUCCCAAAGUCAUGGUUAAGUGGGAAACGAUGUGGGAAGGCCCAGACAGCCAGGAUGUUGGCUUAGAAGCAGCCAUCAUUUAAAGAAAGCGUAAUAGCUCACUGGUCGAGUCGGCCUGCGCGGAAGAUGUAACGGGGCUAAACCAUGCACCGAAGCUGCGGCAGCGACACUAUGUGUUGUUGGGUAGGGGAGCGUUCUGUAAGCCUGUGAAGGUGGCCUGUGAGGGUUGCUGGAGGUAUCAGAAGUGCGAAUGCUGACAUAAGUAACGAUAAAGCGGGUGAAAAGCCCGCUCGCCGGAAGACCAAGGGUUCCUGUCCAACGUUAAUCGGGGCAGGGUGAGUCGACCCCUAAGGCGAGGCCGAAAGGCGUAGUCGAUGGGAAACAGGUUAAUAUUCCUGUACUUGGUGUUACUGCGAAGGGGGGACGGAGAAGGCUAUGUUGGCCGGGCGACGGUUGUCCCGGUUUAAGCGUGUAGGCUGGUUUUCCAGGCAAAUCCGGAAAACCAAGGCUGAGGCGUGAUGACGAGGCACUACGGUGCUGAAGUGACAAAUGCCCUGCUUCCAGGAAAAGCCUCUAAGCAUCAGGUAACAUCAAAUCGUACCCCAAACCGACACAGGUGGUCAGGUAGAGAAUACCAAGGCGCUUGAGAGAACUCGGGUGAAGGAACUAGGCAAAAUGGUGCCGUAACUUCGGGAGAAGGCACGCUGAUAUGUAGGUGAAGCGACUUGCUCGUGGAGCUGAAAUCAGUCGAAGAUACCAGCUGGCUGCAACUGUUUAUUAAAAACACAGCACUGUGCAAACACGAAAGUGGACGUAUACGGUGUGACGCCUGCCCGGUGCCGGAAGGUUAAUUGAUGGGGUUAGCGGUAACGCGAAGCUCUUGAUCGAAGCCCCGGUAAACGGCGGCCGUAACUAUAACGGUCCUAAGGUAGCGAAAUUCCUUGUCGGGUAAGUUCCGACCUGCACGAAUGGCGUAAUGAUGGCCAGGCUGUCUCCACCCGAGACUCAGUGAAAUUGAACUCGCUGUGAAGAUGCAGUGUACCCGCGGCAAGACGGAAAGACCCCGUGAACCUUUACUAUAGCUUGACACUGAACAUUGAGCCUUGAUGUGUAGGAUAGGUGGGAGGCUUUGAAGUGUGGACGCCAGUCUGCAUGGAGCCGACCUUGAAAUACCACCCUUUAAUGUUUGAUGUUCUAACGUUGGCCCGUAAUCCGGGUUGCGGACAGUGUCUGGUGGGUAGUUUGACUGGGGCGGUCUCCUCCUAAAGAGUAACGGAGGAGCACGAAGGUUGGCUAAUCCUGGUCGGACAUCAGGAGGUUAGUGCAAUGGCAUAAGCCAGCUUGACUGCGAGCGUGACGGCGCGAGCAGGUGCGAAAGCAGGUCAUAGUGAUCCGGUGGUUCUGAAUGGAAGGGCCAUCGCUCAACGGAUAAAAGGUACUCCGGGGAUAACAGGCUGAUACCGCCCAAGAGUUCAUAUCGACGGCGGUGUUUGGCACCUCGAUGUCGGCUCAUCACAUCCUGGGGCUGAAGUAGGUCCCAAGGGUAUGGCUGUUCGCCAUUUAAAGUGGUACGCGAGCUGGGUUUAGAACGUCGUGAGACAGUUCGGUCCCUAUCUGCCGUGGGCGCUGGAGAACUGAGGGGGGCUGCUCCUAGUACGAGAGGACCGGAGUGGACGCAUCACUGGUGUUCGGGUUGUCAUGCCAAUGGCACUGCCCGGUAGCUAAAUGCGGAAGAGAUAAGUGCUGAAAGCAUCUAAGCACGAAACUUGCCCCGAGAUGAGUUCUCCCUGACUCCUUGAGAGUCCUGAAGGAACGUUGAAGACGACGACGUUGAUAGGCCGGGUGUGUAAGCGCAGCGAUGCGUUGAGCUAACCGGUACUAAUGAACCGUGAGGCUUAACCUU
rnacentral:rRNA from 3 species